rnacentral:misc_RNA from 1 species
CUGCCCUCAAGCCCGGCUUGUGUGUUGGGCCGUCGUCCCCCGAUUCCCGGGGGACGGGCCCGAAAGGCAGCGGCGGCACCGCGUCCGGUCCUCGAGCGUAUGGGGCUUUGUCACCCGCUUCGUAGGCCCGGCCGGCGCCUCAGCCGACCCUCCAACCUUUAUUUCUCCA